UUUCCGUAGGUGAACCUGCGGAAGGAUCAUUCAUAAUAAAGUGUUUUAUGGCACUUUUUAAAAAUCCAUAUCCACCUUGUGUGCAAUGUUAGAUCUCGUCAAUCUUGGCGAGAUUUUUAUACAUCAACUCAUUUUUUAACUAAUUUGUCUGAAAAAUAUUAUGAAUACUUAAUUCAAAAUACAACUUUCAACAACGGAUCUCUUGGCUCUCGCAUCGAUGGAGAACGCAGC
rnacentral:misc_RNA from 1 species